GACAGAGGAUGCAAGCGUUAUCCGGAAUGAUUGGGCGUAAAGCGUCUGUAGGUGGCUUUUUAAGUCCGCCGUCAAAUCCCAGGGCUCAACCCUGGACAGGCGGUGGAAACUACCAAGCUGGAGUACGGUAGGGGCAGAGGGAAUUUCCGGUGGAGCGGUGAAAUGCGUAGAGAUCGGAAAGAACACCAAUGCGAAGACACUUUACUGGGCUAUUACUGACACUGAGAGACGAAAGCUAGGGUAGCAAAUGGG
rnacentral:rRNA from 1 species